AACACCAGGCGCCGGAACGUCAACAGCGACGAGAUCGACUGCCUCCCGAGUCGCGCGCCCCCCGCGUUCCCUUCCGGCGACCGCCCCGCCCCCCAACUUCUUCUGAACUUCUCCAACCUCCUCCCUAGUCUAGAGCUUUGAGUCCAGGCCCCUGCACCAAAAAAUCAGCGUCCACUCCUAUGGAAAUUCUUCUCCAAAAUCUUCCGGCAAUGUGGGCAUCCAGUCGCGGAGAGAUUUUGCGGAGCGCUGCAUUCCGUCGUCGUCGACCCCGUGGCCGUGGGCAACCAGGCAGCUGAUGUAGAUACAUCCUGAGCGGUAGUGCUAUUCUACUGUCCGCAUUGCAGAUAUAUGGUUGGUGAUUUGCCACUUGUUAAAUUACAUGAUGAGAUGACAUGAGCUGUGAAAAAGGAGCGAGCAGGACACAAUAAAGAUGAUGUCCUGACUUCAUUUUUGGGACGUGUUUUCUCAGUAACUAUCUUGUUCUUGCUCAUUUUGUUGAAAGAUGGUCUUGUGUUCUGUGAAGAUGUGAACAAAAAUAUGUAUUCACAACAAAGAACACAAAGAUGUUGUGGUGAUGUAAAGUCCGCCCCAGCAUCUGUAGUUUUCCAGAUUGCUAUCAAUAUUUUUGUAAUCUUAACGGUGGCUUUGAUGCAAUUUAUUUCUGUAGAUGUAUAAAACCUGUUCG
rnacentral:rRNA from 1 species